CACACAGAAUAACAUAAGCUUAGCUUGCUAUUUAUACACGAAUUCAAAACAAGAUAAUUCAACCUUCAAGUGUGAAGGCGGCUGGCGGCCAAUGGUGUGAAGGCGGCUGGCGGCUGCGGCUGGUGGCUGGCGGCUGGUCGGUCACAGCUGGUGGCUGGCUGGCCGGUGGUUGCCUUCCUUGACCUUCUAGAUUGAUUGAGUUUAAUACAACAAAUCUCCCCUUUAAACUCAAUCGAGGGAUGUCAUGCCAAACAUGAACUUCAUUCUGAUAAAUGUUUCCCUCUUCAAUGGCUUUGUAUUUUUGCACUUUUUCUUUUGCAUUCUUCUUUGUCUUAUAGACCCAUUUGACACCUAUUGCUUUCUUGCUUUCUGGUGGAUAAGUCAGCUUCCAGGUAUCAUUCUUCUCAAUGGCAUGCAUUUCUUCAUCCAUUGCUUCUAUCUUCUCUUCUGUGAUAGCUUUGUUGAAGCUAAGUGGGUCAUUAUCUGCAAAGAAACAAAAUAGAGUUGUAUCUUCGAUGACUUGCGUGGCAUCGUACAACUCGUCAAGAUUUCUCAUCCUUCUUGGUCCUUCUGACGAUGAGGAUGUUGCUGCUGGUGUUGAUGAUGAUGCUCCUGGUGUGUUCCUCCUGUUGAAUACAGGGAAUCUGUGUAUCGGACUUUGUGGUUCAGCUGCUGGCACAAUCGGUUCUUCGACAAGUACUGUUGGUACUUCUUCACCUUCAAGGAUCAAAUCAAUGUUGAUCCAUCUGACUGCUUCUUUAUUAUCAGUCCAUUCCCAAGAUUUAUCUUCUUCAAAGAUAACAUCUCUACUCAUGAUUACCUUCUUCGUGAUGGGAUUAUACAGCUUGUAUCCCAUCCUUCUUUCACCAUAUCCGACAAAGAUGCAUCUCUCGCUUUUAUCAUCGAGUUUUCUCCUUCUUGCAUCUGGGAUCUUUGCAUAUGCCACACAACCAAAGACUCGUAGAUGAGUAACACUUGGUUUGUGACCACUCCAUGCUUCUUCUGGAAUGACUCCUUGCAAACUUCUGGUUGGGCAGCGAUUCAGUAGAUACACUGCACAUGAUACAGCUUCAGCCCAGUAUUGCUUGGGCAACUUCUUUGCUUUGAGCAGACUUCUUGCCAUGUCAAGAAUCGUGCGAUUCUUCCUUUCAGCUACACCAUUCAGCUGUGGUGUAUAAGCUGGUGUUGUCUGAUGUCUGAUGCCUUGUUGUGUACAAUAGGCUUCAAAGUCAUUUGCUGUAUAUUCUCCACCUUGAUCAGAUCUCACGGUUCUGAUCAUGUAGCCACUUUGCUUCUCCACAAUUGCUUUAAAAUCUUUAAAACAAUUGAAUACUUCUGACUUCCUCUUCAGAAAGUAUAUCCACGUCUUUCUACUAAAAUCAUCAAUAAAAGUGAGGAAGUACCUAUUCUGUCCAGUCGACAUAGGCGUAAUUGGGCCACACACAUCUGUGUGUACUAACUCCAGUGGCCUCUUUGCUUUCCAGUUGACUUCUUUGGCAAAACUGGAUCUGUGAUGUUUGCUGAGGACACAACUUUCACAGACUUCAUCUGGAUGAUCAAUGUGAGGCAAACCUCUGACCAUCUUCUUGCUUGCUAGCAUCUUCAGACUUGUGAAAUUCAGAUGUCCAAGCCUCAGGUGCCAAAGCCAUUCUUCACUGUUGGUGAUGGCACUCAAACACCUUGCUGCAUCAUACUGGAUGUUCAAAGGAAACAUCCUAUUCUUGGACAUUUUCACAUAGGCCAUUAAUCUCCAAUUGUUGUCUCUAAUUGUCAGAUGACAAUUCUUCGAGUAAAAAGUAUAUCCUCUCUCCAAAAGUUGACCUAAGCUGAUCAGGUUCUGCUUUAUGGCUGGGACAUAAUAAACAUUGGCGAUGUAGCUGGAAUCGCCGUUCUUCAACUUGAUUGGGAUGCUGCCUUUACCUUUGAAUGGAACCUUUGUGGUAUCUCCAAAAGUAACUAGACCUUGCUUGGUCUCAUCUAGAUCACUAAAUAACUCUCGGUAGCCGCACAUGUGAUUGCUGGCUCCAGUAUCUAGAUACCAUAUAUUUUCCUGUUUCUCGCCAAGUUCUUGUUGGACAAGAAAUGCAGCUUCUUCUCUGUCAUCCUUCUCUGCAUAGUUGGCUUGCUCACGUAUCUCCAACGGAGCUUUCCUUCUGCAUUCAGUGCUAUAGUGCCCAAAUUGAUUGCAACUAUAACAUUGGAUAUUCCUCUUGUCACGGUUAUUGUAACCGCCUCCUCUUCCUCUAGGAGUGAAUGCUUGUUGUCCUCGACCUCCUCUGGUGGUGUUUCUACCACCUCUUCCUCUAAAGCUUGUAUUCCAAGAACCUCUUCCUUGGAAUCUCUGGAAUCCUCCUCUGGAUUGUUGACUUCCUGCUUGAGUGGUAUAUCCACUUGUUGAAGUCUCCCCUUGCUCAUAUCUCUCUUUGAGCGACAACUUUGCUUGUAAGGCAUGCUCAAUUGCCUUAUCUUCAUUUCGCUUUACAAUCUUCUGCUCAUGAGCUUGCAAAGAACUCAUAAGUUCAUCCACUGUCAACUUGUCCACUUCUUUGGACUCUUCAAUAGCGACAACAACAAAAUCAAAUUUUGGAUCUAGGGAUCGCAAAAUUUUCUCAGUAAUUCGAGAAUCUAUGAUGGCUUCUCCAUUUCUCCUCAUCUGAUUGACUAUCACCAUAAUCCUUGUGUGAUAAUCAGAAAUAGAUUCCGAGGACUUCAUUUGCAAUAACUCAAAUUCACCUCGCAAAGAUUGAAGACGAAUCUUCUUGAUUCUGUCAGCACCUUUGUAUUUUUGUUGGAGAGCCUCCCAUAUGUCUUUUGAUGUUUCAGCGGAAGCAAUGAUCUCGAACGUAUCUUCAUCAAGACCUUGAUAGAUGAUCGUCUUUGCUUUGUUGUCCUUCUUUCUGUUGACUUUCAGGGCUUGCUUAUGUGCCUCUUGUAAAGCAUCUUCUUCUUCUUUGGACUCUGGUUCAUCAUAACCAUAGUGUACAAUCUCCAAACACUCUUGUGAACCAAGGAAUGCCUUUAAUUUGAUGCACCAACUAUCAUAGUUGUCUUUGGUCAGCUUCGGGAUGAGUGUUUGUGUACCUUCUGUAGUCAUUUUGCUCUUUUAAUGAUUAUAUCUCCUUCUGGGAGUUGAAUUUGGAAAAACAGACACUGUAGAUCGAUCCGGAAUGGUCGAAAUAGUCGGGAACCGGUCUGACUUUGUUGAAAUCAGGUCAGACAAUGGGUGAACCGGUCAAAACACCAAUUCUGGGCGACGGGCGGUUCGCUGGGUUGAACCGGGAAUAUUCUGUGGAAUAUUCUAUCGGCUCGGCUUAGGCUAAUAGCGGCUCGGCUUAGCGGCUAGGCUUGAAAAGGGAAUAUUCUCGGGAAUAUUAUGCGGCUCGGUUGGACGCUUGGAUUGCGGCUCAGCGCGGCGCGGUUAACGGCUCAAAUAUGGCGCGCGUGGACGUCACUCGUCGUCUACCUCUGUAGCGCGUGGGUGCGCGUGGUCCAACAGUUCAGAAUCUUCAGGUGGCGCGUGUUGCUCACCCCGGAGUCCGAUGGAGCUGAUUUUUGCGGCAGUGAGUUUGUAUGGAUGAGCUCUACGCUGUGGAAUGAUCAAAACUUGUUUUUGACAACUUUGAAAAUUCGGAUAUCUCCCAAAACACUUUUGUUUUCUGACGAACGGGGCUCUGAUACCAAUUGUUGGUGGUAGAAACCACUGGUGGUGGCUUUGAAACACUCGGAGGGGAUAAAACACACUGUUUUAUUACAAGAACAAAAGCUUACAAACACAAAAGCUUAAUACAAUACACGCCCUCUCUCUUUCUCUCUAGUGUUUCUCUCUAUUCUCUCCACACAGAAUAACAUAAACUUAGCUUGCUAUUUAUACACGAAUUCAAAACAAGAUAAUUCAACCUUCAAGUGUGAAGGCGGCUGGCGGCCAAUGGUGUGAAGGCGGCUGGCGGCUGCGGCUGGUGGCUGGUCGGUCACAGCUGGUGGCUGGCUGGCCGGUGGUUGCCUUCCUUGACCUUCUAGAUUGAUUGAGUUUAAUACAACAAG
rnacentral:lncRNA from 1 species